rnacentral:rRNA from 1 species
AUUGAACGCUGGCGGCAGGCCUAACACAUGCAAGUAGAACGAGUGGCGGACGGGUGAGUAAUGUCUGGGAAACUGCCCGAUGGAGGGGGAUAACUACUGGAAACGGUAGCUACUACCGCAUACCCUCGGAUGUGCCCCGAUGGGAUUAGCUGGUAGGUGAGGUAACGGCUCACCUAGGCGACGAUCCCUAGCUGUGCUGAGAGGUUGACCAGCCAAACUGGAACUGAGACACGGUCCAGACUCAUAAGGGAGGCAGCAGUGGGGAAUAUUGGACAAUGGGCGAAAGCCGGAUCCAGCCAGGCGGCGUGGGUGAAGAAGUUCUUCGGAUUGUAAAGCACUUUAAGUUGGGAGGCGUUACCAACAGAAUAAGCACCGGCUAACUUCGUGCCAGCAGCCGCGGUAAUUC